AGUGAACGCUGGCGGUAGGCCUAACACAUGCAAGUCGAACGGCAGCACAGUAAGAGCUUGCUCUUACGGGUGGCGAGUGGCGGACGGGUGAGGAAUACAUCGGAAUCUACUUUUUCGUGGGGGAUAACGUAGGGAAACUUACGCUAAUACCGCAUACGACCUACGGGUGAAAGCAGGGGAUCUUCGGACCUUGCGCGAUUGAAUGAGCCGAUGUCGGAUUAGCUAGUUGGCGGGGUAAAGGCCCACCAAGGCGACGAUCCGUAGCUGGUCUGAGAGGAUGAUCAGCCACACUGGAACUAAGACACGGUCCAGACUCCUACGGGAGGCAGCAGUGGGGAAUAUUGGACAAUGGGCGCAGGCCUGAUCCAGCCAUACCGCGUGGGUGAAGAAGGCCUUCGGGUUGUAAAGCCCUUUUGUUGGGAAAGAAAAGCAGCAGGUUAAUACCCCGCUGUUCUGACGGUACCCAAAGAAUAAGCACCGGCUAACUUCGUG
rnacentral:rRNA from 1 species